rnacentral:rRNA from 1 species
UACGUAGGGUGCAAGCGUUGUCCGGAAUUAUUGGGCGUAAAGAGCUCGUAGGCGGUUUGUCGCGUCUGCUGUGAAAACUCGGGGCUUAACUCCGGGCCUGCAGUGGGUACGGGCAGACUAGAGUGCGGUAGGGGAGACUGGAAUUCCUGGUGUAGCGGUGAAAUGCGCAGAUAUCAGGAGGAACACCGGUGGCGAAGGCGGGUCUCUGGGCCGACACUGACGCUCAUGUGCGAAAGCGUGGGGAGCAAACAGG